UCAUAACAUGAGUUCCCUUCUGUUUUCCAGUGAAUGUUAUGAUGAAUCACUAUACAGUUGUUAUGUGACAUGGGAUGAGCGUCUCCAGCUUUGUCCUUCCUCAGAUUAUGAAGACAUGAUAACAACAGGGCCAAAACCACGCAUCCUUGCUGCUGAACCUCUGUCUUGGGAGGGAGCUGUUUCUAAGGCCCCAGGCAUCAGUGGAUCAGAAGACCAGGAAUCUGCACAGAUACUAGAAUCAGG
rnacentral:lncRNA from 1 species